rnacentral:snRNA from 1 species
AUAGUAGGUAGAGAAAAGCUUCUUUAACUUCAACCUAUACCUAUAGUCACCAGGGUGAGGCUCAUCCAUUGCACUGCGGGUGUGCUGACCCCUGCAAUUUCCCCAAAUGCGGGAAAUUCGACUGCAUAAUUUCUAGUCACUAGUUUUUCACUGUG